GAGGGUAUAGCUCAAGUGGUAGAGUGCAUGUUUAGCACGCAUGAGGUCCUGGGUUCAAUCCCUAGUACCUCCA
rnacentral:tRNA from 1 species